rnacentral:rRNA from 1 species
GACGAACGCUGGCGGCGUGCUUAACACAUGCAAGUCGAACGGAAAGGCCCCUUUGGGGGUCCUCGAGUGGCGAACGGGGGAGUAACACGUGCGUAACCUGCCCUUGACUUCGGGAUAACUUCAGGAAACUGGGGCUAAUACCGGAUAGGAAUCCUUGCUGCAUGGUGGGGGUUGGAAAGCUUCGGCGGUUUUGGAUGGACUCGCGGCUUAUCAGCUUGUUGGUGGGGUAGUGGCUUACCAAGGCUGUGACGGGUAGCCGGCCUGUGGGGGCGACCGGCCACCUUGGGUCUGAGGUGCGGCCCAGGCUCCUACGGGUGGCAGCUGUGGGGAAUCUUGCACAAUGGGCGGCAGCCUGAUGCAGCAACGCCGCGUGCGGGAUGACGGCCUUCGGGUUGUAAACCGCUUUCAGCAGGGGCGAAGCUUGUGGUGACGGUACCUGCAGAAGAAGCACCGGCUAACUACGUG